rfam:Schistosoma haematobium scaffold650_8, whole genome shotgun sequence.
AUCCAGCUGACGAGUCCUAAAUAGAAUGAAAUGCGCGUUUUGGAU